UACGGAGGGUGCGAGCGUUGUCCGGAAUCAUUGGGCGUAAAGCGCGCGCAGGCGGUCCUUUAAGUCUGAUGUGAAAGCCCACGGCUCAACCGUGGAGGGUCAUUGGAAACUGGGGGACUUGAGUACAGAAGAGAAGAGUGGAAUUCCACGUGUAGCGGUGAAAUGCGUAGAGAUGUGGAGGAACACCAGUGGCGAAGGCGACUCUUUGGUCUGUAACUGACGCUGAGGCGCGAAAGCGUGGGGAGCAAACAGG
rnacentral:rRNA from 1 species